rnacentral:lncRNA from 1 species
CGACGUGCUUAUCUUGAUUUAAUUAGGCCCGAGAAUGUCUCAAAUUAGUCUUAUAUAGUAAUAAUAACAAUAACAAUAACAACUACCUAGUAAAAUCCCACAUAGUGGGGUCUGGGGAGGGUAAUGUCUAAGCGGACCUUACCCCUACCCCGAUAGGGGCAGAGAGGCUGUUUCCGAUAGAAUCUCAGAUCAGAAAGACGAAAAUAAAGUAAGAAUAAACAAGAGGAGAGAAAUCAUUAGUAAUUCCAGUGAAAAUCGUGAUAGUAAAAUCGAAAGAUGAAUGACAUAUAAUAGCAGUAACUAUAAUCUACGGUCCGGGGCUAAGACAGACAACAAGAAUAGUGUGGGUCCAACAUAAAAUGCAAGCCAUCUAAUAUCAACCCUAAUCCAACCCCGCCUCAAAAAAAUAUUAAUUUUGAAGAUGGGGAAUGUUCAUCUUGAUUCUAUAAGAUUGCCUAUUUUAUGUGACUUGAUAUAGAAGCAUUUGCAUGAAUUACAUUGGCAUCAAGAAGAGCACUUCUUAUGUUCAGAUAUAGUAAAUUCUAUGAGUUAAAAUUGCCAAAAAAUGGGGCUAACAAAGUUGAAACUUAAAAAGCUGUAUGUGCAUGUUGCAACUGGACCAUUGUAUUACCCAAGCAUCAGAUUUUCUAAUUUACAUUACAUACUGGAGUAGGUGCUGAUUUUGAAAAUCCAUGCAACAGAGAAAGACAUGUGAUGUGCCCCCAAAACAAUUUUCUUUUGUGUUCAUUUGUUUUUUGAAAUGGUCAAGUAUCACUUUGAUUCUAAAUAAUUUGUUAUGUCACUUAAUACUAAAACUGUUAAUUGCAUUUUAAAAGUUAUGUACCAGCAGAAAUUUUAAUGCUUUUCAGAUGCAACAAAGAUGUUAAUCAAAUUUGCCCGGAUAAGUUGCUAAUCGAGUAAAAGGCCGUGCAAACAUCAAAUUUUUGAACUUAAUAUGGUUAGUUGUUGAUUGUAAAAAUUCAUGCAACUGAUAAAAUGCAUGGUAUUACUUUCCUGUGUGCAUGUUAUAUGCUUAAAUUGUGCAAGUUUGAUUUUGUGCUUGGUGGCUAUGAAUGCAUUGUAUUAUCCAUGCUUCCAUGUAGGAAGAGGAAGUAUAAGAAAACACCAAGCCAACUACUUCGGCUUGUCUUGUGUCUCCUGUCAUAUAUGGCAGAUGGACAUAAAUUCAUGUGUUUCUUCUAAAAAUCAAAAGUCAUCACCGCCUCUUCACUUUUACUGAAUUAACUUCAAUAUCAAUCUAUGAAGUCUUGUGUUAAUAUUAGUAUGUCAAUAUGCAGCUUCUUCUCAGAGGCCCUAAGAAUGCUCGUGAAGCGGUGAAGCACUUUGGUCCAGCACCUGGUGUUCCACACAGCCACACCAAACCAUAUGUGCGUUCAAAGGGAAGAAAGUUUGAGAGCGAUGUUUACUUGAAACUCCUUGUGCAGCUUCUCCUCAGAGGCCCUAAGAAUGCUCGUGAAGCGGUGAAGCACUUUGGUCCAGCACCUGGUGUUCCACACAGCCACACCAAACCAUAUGUGCGUUCAAAGGGAAGAAAGUUUGAGAGGGCACGUGGAAGAAGAAAUAGCAGGGGUUACAAAGUUUAAGUUGAUUUCAUUUGUACUGUCAGGUUGGCUUAAGCAAUUAUUGCAGCAAUAGAGAUUUUGAAGACUAGUAUUCAGUUUUGGAAUUUGCUUAUGUUUACUUUUUAGGAUUGUUAAUCCUAUGAACAUCCAAUUUUGCUGCUUCAAGGUGGAGUUAGGGUGUGAUUUGAGAUCAAACUCGACUGCUUUGGUUAAUAUGAGUUGUCUGUGGCUGAAAGUCCACGCUGCUGGGUGUGUUUUUUCGAGACUUUAUUGUUCUUAAUGAGUGGAAAAUCUUCCAAGAGUAGAUAUUAAGCCUGAUACCACCAGUCAAAUUGACCAAUUUCAGGAGCAAAAUUUGAGCUUAAUCUUAUUCCGAUACAUAUUAAUUGAAAGGUGGAAUUACUAGCUUAAAAUAAUCAAGGUGAAGGAAUUUUAAUGUGCACAUCUGAUACUGUUUUGAUUGCAGAGGGCAACUAUUCUGUUCAAGAUUACAAUACCUCUACUCUUUCUUUAUUCU